rnacentral:rRNA from 1 species
GACGAACGCUGGCGGCGUGCUUAACACAUGCAAGUCGAACGAAGUGGCGAACGGGGGAGUAAUACGCGGGUAACCCGCCCUCCUUUUUGGGAUAAGCCUUGGAAACGGGGUCUAAUACCGAAUAAAGGGGGAUGGGCUCGUGGCCUAUGAGCUUGGUGGGGGGGUGAUGGCCUACCAAGGCGGUGACGGGUAGCCGGCCUGAGAGGGUGACCGGCCACAUGGGGACGGCGAGACGGCCCAGACUCCUACGGGAGGCAGCAGAUUGGGAUAUUGCACAAAGGGCGAAGGCCUGAUGCAGCGACGCCGCGUGGGGGAUGAAGGCUUUCGGGUUGUAAACCUGUUUCGCUAGCGAACGGGUAGGUGGAGAAGAAGCGCCGGCUAACUACGUGCCAGCAGCCGCGGUAAUAC